rnacentral:rRNA from 1 species
GAUGAACGCUGGCGGCGUGCUUAACACAUGCAAGUCGAACGAAGAGGCAUUGAAGGAGUGACUCGGUUGCGAAUUUGAUGCAUAUCUUAGUGGCGGACGGGUGAGUAACGCGUGGGCAACCUGCCCUUUACAGGGGAAUAAUCAUUGGAAACGAUGACUAAUACCGCAUGUCACCGUGAGAUGGCAUCAUCUUGCGGAAAAAGGAGUAAUCCGGUAAAGGAUGGGCCCGCGUCUGAUUAGCUAGUUGGUGGGGUAACGGCCUACCAAGGCGACGAUCAGUAGCCGACCUGAGAGGGUGAUCGGCCACAUUGGGACUGAGACACGGCCCAAACUCC